AUGACAAGGAGGGGCACCGCCAUGGGUGGACCUGGGAGGGUAGAGGCCCACCAACUUGGGAGCCAAGCAGACUCACUGGGGAGGCAGGCCCAGCCAAUCCAGAAGGAGUUUUUACCCAGAAGGAGUUUUUAUUAUAGACAGAAAUACUCCUCUGCCCACCCCUCUGAUGAUCCCGCAGGUGAAGAAGCUGGAUGUGGAGGUUCUGGGCUGGCGUGGUUACAUGUGGUCUGCAGUUGAGGCCAGUUUGACAUACUGCCAAAUUCUCUAAAACAACAUUGGAGGCAGCUUAUGGUAGAGAAAUGAACAUUCAAAGCUCUGGUGAACAUUCCUGCAGUAUGCCAAUUGCGCACUCCCUCAACUUGAGACAUCUGUGGCAUUGUGUUGUAUGACAUCUGCAGUGGUAUUUUAUUGUCCCCAACACAAGGUGCACCUGUAUAAUGAUCAUGCAGUUUUAAUCAGCUUCUUGAAAUGUAACACCUAUCAGCCAAGUGGAUGGAUUAUUUUGACAAAGGAUAAAAUGCUCACUAACAGGGAUGUGCACAACAUUUGAGAAGCUUUUUGUGUGCAUCUGGAACAUUUCUGGGAUCUUUUAUUUCAACUUAUGAAACAUGGGACAAACAACUUUACAUGUUUUGUAUUGUUGUUCAGUGUAUUUAAAAAGAAAAAUUGAAUACUGUUCCUGAAAACAAGCAACGGCAGUUUCAAUAGCGUUGUUAUCACUCCAGUGUUCUGUCUGUAUGCAAGGCAACACUUUCAUGUCUUUGUUGCCAGUGGCUGUUACGGUAAACUACUAGGUUAACCUCUUUGAGUAUCUUCAAUUUGAUAUGUGGAGAAAGUAACAGUGCAGCUUCUGUCCCUCUCCUCACCCCUACCUGGGCUCGAAACCAGGGACCCUCGAAGCACCGUUACCCAUCACUCCACAAAAGCCGCAGCCUUUGCAGAGCGAGCGGAACAACUACUUGUCGUCACAAGGGUGACGUGACUGAAUUUUGAAACGCUAUUAGCGCGCACCACCGCUAACUAGCUAGCCAUUUUCACACUGGUUACACCUGCAUUCACUUGGAUAUACACAGAGUAUACCAAACAUUAGGAACACCUUGUACCACCUUGUACCCUCCAAUGCCUCCCACAGUUGUCCAGUUGGCUGGAUGUCCUUUGGGUGGAGUACUGUUCUUCAUGCACACGGUAAACUGUUGAGCAUGAAAAACCCAGCAGCGUUGCCGUUUCUUGACACCAACCGGUGCAUCUGACACCUACUACCCCCCCCCCCCCCCCCCCCCCCCUUCUUUAACCCGUCUCCUCCACUUCAGCUACACUGAUUUUGAAGUGGAUUUAACAAGUGACGUCAAUAAGGGAUCAUAACUUUCGCCUGGUCGGUCUCUCAUGGGAAGAGCAGUUCUUAAUGUGUUGUAUACUCAGUGUAAUUUGCAAUUGAAGCUUCGUCUGAGUUAAAUGGAAAUAAAAACAAACUUUUGAUUCAGGAUUGUGGGCUACAUAAACGCGGGGUAUUUCAGUAUUUAUUUCCCUGCCUUUUUCUGGACGUCUGGCUGAUCUUCUUAAUUUGUUACCAUCAUUUUGUUUGUUCGUGUGACCUUUCACACAUCACAUCAGUCUAGAUGUAACACCUAUUUAGAUAUGUAGGAUACUAGGGUUGUGGAGAGCUACGCUUGCUGACGUCUAUAUGAACACACUACCAGGAGCUAAUUCAGAGGGCAGAUAGCAUUUUCUAAUAGCAGAAGCUUGUUGGGUUGACUUUGUUUUUUAGGUUAUCAAUAAGUACAUGUAGCCUACACAUGAUCAAUUCUUUUGAUUUAAUUUUAAACCUAAAUCUAUAACUUUUUCACUGCAUAUAAAAAAAGUAAAACCAGGUCUGUCUCUUUUGAUGUCCUAUAUUCUAAUUGGUGGUUUGGUUGAGGUUAUAAUGUACUGCGCUGUACUUCAUGUCCUCUGGAAGGAAUGUGUUCCUCAGUGGUCUUCACUUCUCUUCCUCUGCCAUUCCUCCCAUUCUAAAUAUCUUUUGGCUUUUAUGUGCAAAGCCUGUGCCAGAUAAUAUGGGUAGUUGAUGUUCCUCUCCUGCUCCUUCUCUCCAUUGCUGCCCCCCUCUCCGUGACUCAUGUGGGUGUAGGGCUGAAAUAGUUUGGUGUAGUUUUACAUUCCUUAUAUAGCUCUCUGAGGAGAGGAGGGCUUGCCUGUCUGCCUAGCUAUGUCACUGGGGGGGAGGGAGAGAGUCAGCCCAUCCUCCUUCAAUACUCAAGCACUUCUGUAGCUUUCUGGCAGCUUUGGGUUACCGGGACGGCCUCAUCAGGACAAGGUAUGUUUGCAUUGCAGGUAGCUCUGUGUCAUGGUGAGGUUUUGGAUGCCUUGGAGGAGAGCGUUAUGGGGGGUUGAGGUUAUCAUUAGGCUUGUAACUCAUUUGGCGAGAGCAGUAAGUGUCAUGGCCUAAGGUUUCAGGUUGUCCUUGGUUCUUAAAAUGACAUGGGUUAUGUGUUGUGCUGGCUGUGAACGAAGGGAAUACGCUGUAGCAAUGUAAUUAGACCUGUAUUACUUUGACAGACAUGUUUUAACAACUAAGGCAAUUAGACAAUUUCUAUGGAUUUGAAGGAUAUUUGUUUGCGUGCAGACUGACUUUUGGCUAGUAUAAGAGUGGACAGCGUAAAUACAUUCUCUAGAAGUGUCCCUUUAAAAAAACAUGUAUAAAAACAUUGUACCUUUUAUUUGACCUUUAUUUAACCAGGCAAGUCCGUUAAGAACAAAUUCUUAUUUUCAAUGACAGACUAGGAACAGUGGGUUAACUGGCCUAGGAACAGUGGGUUAACUGCCUUGUUCAGGGGCAGAACGACAGAUUUGUACCUUGUCAGCUCGGAGGAUUCGAUCUUGCAACCUUUCGGUUACUCGUCCAACGCUCUAUCCACUAGGCUACCUGCUGGUUACUGGCCCAACGCUCUAACCACAAGACUACCUGCUGGUUACUGGCUCAACGCUCUAACCACAAGACUACCUGCUGGUUACUGGGCUCAACGCU
rnacentral:lncRNA from 1 species